CCACAUGUAAUGUCCAUGAUAUGUGUCUGAAAAAGAAUUGAGUGUGUUUCUGUUGUUUAUGUUGUUGCUGUCGUCCUUGUUGAGCAGUUGGGGGCAUAUUUUUCCUUUUUUUAUGGAGAACAGCCCUAGCUCCUCGAGAAAUGACCGGAAACUGAUCGAGAGAAACCGGCGACAUCAAAUGAAGGCCCUCUAUUCCCAGCUCAAUUCUGUUGUUCCCCAUCAGAGCUCAACGGAGGCAACAUCUCUUCCGGAUCAACUUCAUGAAGCGACUAAUUACAUCAAGAAGCUACAGAUUAACUUGGAGAAGAUGAAGGAAAAGAAAGAGAGAUUGUUAGGGAUCGAAGAGCUGAAUACAAGCAUGAAUUAUGGGAUGAAUGUAGCCUUAAGUUCGGCAGAAAUUGAGAUUCACCAAAAUGGUUCAGCUCUACAAGUCAUUCUCAUUACUGGGUUGGAUCAUCAGUUCAUGUUCAAUCGCGUCAUCACACUGCUUCACGAAGACGGGGCCGAGAUCUUAAACGUGAGCUUUUCCAUCCUGGGUGACAGAACAUUGCACUCGAUUCAUUGCGAGGUUGGGGACUGUGCACUGAGUCUUGAUUCCGCAAGAAUAUCCGAGAGAUUAAGGCAAUGUGUCCAAGAUAAUGCACGGAGAUGAUUUUUUCACACACUUGAUUUCUGAAGAGACUAUUGGCCCUUGGUAACAAUUCCUAUGAUGCCUGUUAGGGAAAAUGCGAACAGACUUGUAGGGAAAGCUCGAUUUCUCAUGGGGACGACAAAGUAAUCCACCCUGAUAGGACAAUAAUACAGUGAAAGCUGACUGAUAUCCAUCAAGGAAAAUAAAGCGGCACAUCUCUGUAACAAAGGGAAACGAGGUAAAGAAGCAAACCGAUGGUGAGAACUACGCUAGUU